rnacentral:lncRNA from 1 species
AGUAGUUUGUAUUGAUAAUGGCCUGAGGGUUUGAAACCCCGGUUUAUCACAUUGUGAUGCUAUUUUAGGGCGUGAUUCGCAACCCAUGGCAGGUGUGGGGCUGUUUAUGACUGGGGAUUGUGACUUGGUCUACCCGAACAAGAAUAAUACUAUAUUGGUGACUGAUACGCACCCAGUAUUAAAUAUAUCUGGGCUUAUUGCCAUGUUUAGGACCUUUUGCCGAUCUGUAGCAUCCUUAGAAGAUGAAUAUCAUUGUGAUAUCAUGAUUUGUAUAAUUAUUGAUCUCAAUCUUGUGUUUAAUCACUGUUAUGAAAUGCUAAGUCACCUUUUUCCUGAAAGUAAAUAACUAAAUUAUAUUCUUCUUAAUAAUUGGAAACUGAAAAAUAAAUUGAAUCUAUUAUGUGACUUAUAUGUAUACUGUGGACUGAGUAUGGAUCGGGAUGCACGCCGCAGUAGUGACAUGAUGAUAUUGCGCUUGGGUUGUAGGAGCCCCUCCGGAAUCUGUACACAUCACCAAUGAGUGUAGUCGAUGUUAAAUGAAUCGGGCUGUACGCCACAGCGGGUCAUGUGCAUUGCAUUUCAUUAUUGCAUUUUACUUGACUAAUAUACUUGAUAUUGCUUUGCUAUUGGUUCGUAGUUAAGGUGUCAGAUUGUUAGUAUUAGCUUUACUUUGUGCCAUUUCGUGGAUUUCUUAUCUUCAGACAUUUUAUAUGCUUAUUACUCAC